rnacentral:pre_miRNA from 1 species
UUGUGAUUCAGGAGACAGAACUCUGGGACAUCUCCACCAUGGCCUGGAUCCCUCUCCUUCUCACCCUUCUGUCUGUCUGCACAGGUGA